GAUGAACGCUGGCGGCGUGCCUAAUACAUGCAAGUCGAGCGAACAGACGAGGAGCUUGCUCCUCUGACGUUAGCGGCGGACGGGUGAGUAACACGUGGAUAACCUACCUAUAAGACUGGGAUAACUUCGGGAAACCGGAGCUAAUAUCGGAUAACAUGUUGAACCGCAUGGUUCAACAGUGAAAGACGGUUUUGCUGUCACUUAUAGAUGGAUCCGCGCCGCAUUAGCUAGUUGGUAAGGUAACGGCUUACCAAGGCAACGAUGCGUAGCCGACCUGAGAGGGUGAUCGGCCACACUGGAACUGAGACACGGUCCAGACUCCUACGGGAGGCAGCAGUAGGGAAUCUUCCGCAAUGGGCGAAAGCCUGACGGAGCAACGCCGCGUGAGUGAAGAAGGUCUUCGGAUCGUAAAACUCUGUUAUUAGGGAAGAACAAAUGUGUAAGUAACUAUGCACGUCUUGACGGUACCUAAUCAGAAAGCCACGGCUAACUACGUG
rnacentral:rRNA from 1 species